UACGUAGGGGGCAAGCGUUGUCCGGAAUUAUUGGGCGUAAAGGGCGCGUAGGCGGUCAGCACAAGUCAGUUGUGAAAUCUCCGGGCUUAACUCGGAAAGGUCAACUGAUACUGUGCGACUAGAGUGCAGAAGGGGCAACUGGAAUUCUCGGUGUAGCGGUGAAAUGCGUAGAUAUCGAGAGGAACACCUGCGGCGAAGGCGGGUUGCUGGGCUGACACUGACGCUGAUGCGCGAAAGCCAGGGGAGCGAACGGG
rnacentral:rRNA from 1 species